UAGGGUCGUCAUGUUAGAAAGUAAUUUACUUAGGACUGGUACACUAACACACGAAGAAGGUCACGACUUAUAUAUCUUAGCAGGACAUGAAGCCAGUUAUUAAUAAGAAGAACAAGCUCAUCGUAAAUCCAAGGUUUCUGCUUUGCUUAAGAAGUUAGACUAAUCAAAACACUUAACUUAUUAUUAGAAUAGAUUCUAGUUAAGUCGGAAAAGAAUACAGAAAUCGUGAUGUUUUAGAAAAAUUGGAAGACGGAAUUUAAAAAAAAAAUAUGAGAGAUUAUAGAGAUUUUUUUCUCGUAAGAAUAUAUACCUCAAUUUUACUUCUCUUCUUAGAGAAAGUAGAAGAUCUAAUUGGUAUUUAAAUAUUUUUAGAUACCACUAAUUUUAGAAACAGUACCUACAAUUGAAAUAUAUAAUACAAUAAUUAUAUUUUCGUGAUUAAAAUUGAAAUAUAUUCUAUUUGAAAUUUAAAAA
rnacentral:lncRNA from 1 species